rnacentral:misc_RNA from 1 species
CUUUCAAAUUCAGGGUAACCCCGGAAUAAUAAAAAAAUGGGCAAUCCUGAGCCAAAUCCUGUUUUAUCAAAGAAAAAGUUCAUAAACCGRMMAAARGKAUAGGUACAGAGACUCAAUGGAAGAUGUUCUAGCAAAUGGGGACACUGGUAAAGGAAUCUUUACACUGAAACGUGAGAAAGGAUCAAGGAGAAAUCGAUCUAUUGAAUACUAUAUCAAAYYAUUAAAAUCAACCCGAAUCUCUAGAUGUAUUUUUUGAUAUGAAAAAUAUAAAAUUUGGUGUGAAUUCAUUCAGUAUUGAAUAAAAAUCGAAUUUUUAGUCAUCAAAUCAUUCACUCCAUAGUCCGAUAAACCUUUUCAAGAACUGAUGAAUCAGACAAGAAUAAAGAUAGAGUCCCCUUCUACAUGUCAAUACUGACAACAAUGAAAUUUAUAGUAAGAGGAAAAUCCGUUGACUUUUAAAAUCGUGAGGGUUCAAGUCCCUCUAUCCCCAAACAAGCCUAUUUGACUCUCAAAAUCUUUAGCCUACCCUACACCUUUCGGUUACAAAUUCAUUUAUUUUUCUGGUUCUUUGACAAAGAUAAACGUAGGUGGACGUAAAUGACUUUCUCUUCUCACACGCGAUAUAGAAUACACAUCCAAAAUGAUUCACAAUCAAUAGCUUUACGAAUACUGAAAAAGUGGUCUUUUUGAAGAUCAAAGAAAUUAAAGUAUUUGGGGAAAAAUUUGUAAUAUACCCCUUUCCUUUAAUUGACAUAGACCCUAGCCAUCGACUAAAAUGAUAAAAUGAGUAUGGGUUACUACGCAGGGAAUG